ACAGAGGGUGCGAGCGUUGUCCGGAAUCACUGGGCGUAAAGGGCGCGUAGGUGGCCGAGCAAGGUCGCGGUGAAAGCCCGGGGCUCAACCCCGGGUCGGCCGUGGCAACUACUCGGCUCGAGCACUGUAGGGGCGGGUGGAAUUCCGGGUGUAGCGGUGGAAUGCGUAGAGACCCGGAAGAACACCGGUGGCGAAGGCGGUUAGCUGGGCAGUUGCUGACACUGAGGCGCGACAGCGUGGGGAGCAAACAGGA
rnacentral:rRNA from 1 species